rnacentral:rRNA from 1 species
GUUACUGGAAACGGUGGGUAAUACCGGAUGUGGCUCUGGGAGGACAUCCUCCUAGAAUUAAAUGGUUUUUCGCUUCGGGAGCGGCUUAUGGCCUAUCAGGUAGUUGGUGGGGUAAUGGCCUACCAAGCCUACGACGGGUAGCGGGUCUGAGAGGACGAUCCGCUCGAGUGGGACUGAGACACGGCCCACACACCUACGGGUGGCAGCAGUUGGGAAUCUUGCACAAUGGGGGAAACCCUGAUGCAGCGACGCCGCGUGGAGGAUGAAGGAUCUAGGUCUGUAAACUCCUUUUUCAGGGAAAGACUUAGGACGGUACCCUGAGAAUAAGCUCCGGCUAACUACGUGCCAGCAGCCGCGGUAAGACGUAGGGAGCAAGCGUUGUCCGGAUUUACUGGGCGUAAAGCGCGCGUAGGCGGCCUGUUAAGUGAGAAGUGAAAUCUCCAGAGCUCAACUCGGAAAUUGCUUUUCAUACUGGCAGGCUGGAGGGAUGUAGAGGUGAAUGGAAUUCCCGGUGUAGCGGUGAAAUGCGUUGAUAUCGGGAGGAACACCCAUGGCGAAGGCAGUUCACUGGACAUCUCCUGACGCUGAGGCGCGAAAGCGUGGGUAGCAAACAGGAUUAGAUACCCUGGUAGUCCACGCCCUAAACGAUGGAUACUAGGCGUAAGAGGUAUCGACCCCUCUUGUGCCGCAGCUAACGCAUUAAGUAUCCCGCCUGGGGAGUACGGCCGCAAGGUUGAAACUCAAAUGAAUUGACGGGGACCCGCACAAGCGGUGGAGCAUGUGGAUUAAUUCGAUACUAACCGAAGAACCUUACCCAGGCU